AAGAGGUGAAAGGAUCUGUGUCUGCAUGACUAGGGAAGUGGAAGUGGCCCUUCCUGGCUAGCUAGGGCCAGCUGGACAUCCCCACUCUUUUAGAAAUGCACCUGUGAAUGCUGUGCCUCUCUGCUGCAUCUCAGAUAAUGGUCAGUGAUGCUGAAAGAAACACAUUCAGGAGAAAGAAAGCAUGGACCGCUGAGAGAGCUUGUGCAGAAGGCUGACAGCCCAUCUUAUUCCCACCAGUUUCCCUGGGAGUUCAGCACUGCACUUAGCCUGUUUUACUGAUCUUCCUGAGCCCCUCAUUUGUGACCUGCAAGACCACCAUCCUCAAGAAGUCAGAAGCCUGUGGAACUGGAGCAUAACAGAGGAAGACGGGACAAGCUGAGAAGAAACAACAGAGAGGAAAAUCUUCGCCUUUGUGGCUAUUGGAGCAAAAGGCAGAAAGGUAGGAUUGUAUCUAUGUGGUUGUUAAUCUUUCGCCUACUCACACUGGCUGUAGGGUGGCUGUUGGCUCAGUUUGUGC
rnacentral:lncRNA from 1 species